rnacentral:rRNA from 1 species
UGGGGAAUAUUGCGCAAUGGGGGAAACCCUGACGCAGCGACGCCGCGUGCGGGAUGAAGGCCUUCGGGUUGUAAACCGCUUUUGAUUGGGAGCAAGCUUUCGGGUGAGUGUACCUUUCGAAUAAGCGCCGGCUAACUACGUGCCAGCAGCCGCGGUAAUACGUAGGGCGCAAGCGUUAUCCGGAAUUAUUGGGCGUAAAGCGCGCGUAGGCGGUUUUUUAAGUCUGAUGUGAAAGCCCACGGCUCAACCGUGGAGGGUCAUUGGAAACUGGAAAACUUGAGUGCAGAAGAGGAAAGUGGAAUUCCAUGUGUAGCGGUGAAAUGCGCAGAGAUAUGGAGGAACACCAGUGGCGAAGGCGACUUUCUGGUCUGUAACUGACGCGGAUGUGCGAAAGCGUGGGGAUCAAACAGG